AUGAUUAGCCCGUUUUCCCUCUGUACGUGGAAUGUGCGUGGCCUUGGCACUGCAUGCAAGUGCCGCGACGUACGCGCGGAUAUCGAGGCCAUGCAGCCCUCCUUCCUCGCUCUUCAGGAAACUAAACUUGUAGCCCCGGACUCGCGCAAAUCUGACUCCUUCCUCCCAAAUGCGUUGCGCUCGUUCCUCCUGGCUGACGCGGUCGGCUCGUCAGGUGGGCUUUGCACUGCUUGGGACUGCCGCGUCUUCUCCAUCGCUAGUAACCUUUGCUCCCCUCGCGUGCUCUCUGUUGACUUGAAUCUCUGUCACGACAAUUCCCUUGUCCGCAUCACGAAUGUUUACGCUCCCUGCGACCACGCGUCCAAGCCCGCCUUCCUUGCCGAGCUCUCCGGCCAUGCCCCCGGUGACGCCAUCCCAUGGGCCGUUUUGGGCGACUUCAAUCUUACUCGUUCUCCCGAAGACCGCAACAAUGCUAAUUUCUGCCGGACCGAGGCCGCACUCUUUAAUGACUUCAUCAAUGAGCUCUCUCUAAUUGACCUCCCCCUCCGCGACCGUCUUUACACGUGGUCCAACCGCCAGUCCCCCCCAAUCCUUGCUCGGCUCGACCGGGUCCUUGUCAACGUGUCGUGGGAUGCUAGGUUUCCCACUUCCACCCUCUCAUCCUUCACCCGCUCUACGUCCGACCAC
rnacentral:rRNA from 1 species